AUAACUACUGGAAACGGUAGCUAAUACCGCAUAACGUCGCAAGACCAAAGAGGGGGACCUUCGGGCCUCUUGCCAUCAGAUGUGCCCAGAUGGGAUUAGCUAGUAGGUGGGGUAACGGCUCACCUAGGCGACGAUCCCUAGCUGGUCUGAGAGGAUGACCAGCCACACUGGAACUGAGACACGGUCCAGACUCCUACGGGAGGCAGCAGUGGGGAAUAUUGCACAAUGGGCGCAAGCCUGAUGCAGCCAUGCCGCGUGUAUGAAGAAGGCCUUCGGGUUGUAAAGUACUUUCAGCGAGGAGGAAGGUGUUGAGGUUAAUAACCGCAGCAAUUGACGUUACCCGCAGAAGAAGCACCGGCUAACUCCGUGCCAGCAGCCGCGGUAAUACGGAGGGUGCAAGCGUUAAUCGGAAUUACUGGGCGUAAAGCGCACGCAGGCGGUCUGUCAAGUCGGAUGUGAAAUCCCCGGGCUCAACCUGGGAACUGCAUUCGAAACUGGCAGGCUAGAGUCUUGUAGAGGGGGGUAGAAUUCCAGGUGUAGCGGUGAAAUGCGUAGAGAUCUGGAGGAAUACCGGUGGCGAAGGCGGCCCCCUGGACAAAGACUGACGCUCAG
rnacentral:rRNA from 1 species